rnacentral:rRNA from 1 species
AGAGCUUAGCGAAAGCGAAGGUUCGAAUUGAAGCCCCAGUAAACGGCGGCCGUAACUAUAACGGUCCUAAGGUAGCGAAAUUCCUUGUCGGGUAAGUUCCGACCUGCACGAAAGGUGUAAUGAUUUGGGCACUGUCUCAACGAGAGACUCGGUGAAAUUAUAAUACCCGUGAAGAUGCGGGUUACCCGCGACAGGACGGAAAGACCCCAUGGAGCUUCACUGUAGCUUGAUAUUGAGUAUCUUUUAAACAUGUACAGGAUAGGUAGGAGCCAAGGAAGGCAGGACGCUAGUUUUGCUGGAGGCAAUGUUGGGAUACUACCCUUGUUUGAAGGAUGCUCUAACCU